CACAGAUAAAGCCGUAAUUCCAGGGCGUAUAGGGAUAUAAAUUUUGUAUGCAUUAUUACAUUUUUAAAUCUUUUAUCAAAAAAGCACACAAAACGUCAAACCCCCAACGCCGAAGAGAGAAAGUGCAGCGCACAAGCAGAAGCAGACGGUGAAGGGUGAACAAGAAGGAAAUACGUCAUCGACGUCAUUAUAAAUUUGUUAAUCUCGUCCAUAGAUAAAAGAUAUACAAAGAUAGUGGAUAAUUCCAUAAAAUAAUAUCAACUAGUAAGUUUAUCCGCACGUUACCGAAGUUGACAGAAGAGGUCGCUGUUUCCGUUUGAAUUUUUUCUGCCAAAUUCAAAAUUCCGGAGGAACCAGGAGAGUCAGAAAAGUUGGUUGUUGAUUAAUCAUAAUAUUUUGUUAGUUAAAGUGAAACAAAUAAAGUAAAAAUUAUUAAACAAAUGAAAUCAAAUUCACUGUUACACUAUGUUCUAAAUAUUUAGUAGUACCUGCUGUUGCAAAAUAAUCAGUAGUAACAACAAUUAUAUAACAAUUUAGCUAAAAAUGUAUAACUUUUAUCUAAUAUAUUUUGUAAAAUAGAUCUGCUGGUAUUUAUUGGUCACAGGUAUCAGAAAGAAAAUUGUUACCCUGCCAUUUGGAGUAUUAACAAUUUCUGAAUGACUUAUCAUCAUUAUUGCAGCAAUUCCAUAUAGAAG